CUACGGAGUACUUCAGAACAAAUUAAGCUCUCAGAAUUUCAUCUCUCGCGCUCAACUCCCUUCUUCUUCCCUUAGCUUUCCCUGCGUCGCCCCCUCAAAAAAACCCAUUCAUGCGUCAUCAAUCUAGCAUCCUCGUCGAGUCGUCGGUGGUUCUGGCCUCCUCGCCAGUCGCCGGUGGGUCUCUUUUCUCGCCUCCUCUCCAGAUUUGUAUGUGUCCUACUCAAGCAGCAAUGAUUUCUACACUUUGCAAGAGUGGAGGUUCGGCUUAUGCGACGAAGACGAGAUUUAGCACAAAACGCUACGCUUCUGACAGGCGCAGCUGAAGAAUGAUAGGGAAGAUAUUAAAGAGCUUCUUCAAACUAAGAAAAAUCAUUGAGGUAAGGUCUUAAGGAAUAAUAAAUUAACCAAAGAGAUCACGGAACUUCAGGAGGAGGCCAAACUGACUCGAGAAAUUCCUCAAAUGCUCUGACUCAGUGACAACCUGUGAAAACAUAUACAAGGAUGUCUAUCUGUUAUGCAGGCGCUAUCUGAGCUUCAUGAUCAAAUCCCUCCUUUCCCUAGAGCUAUUGCAAUGAAGAUCAUCGAGGAUGAAUUAGGAUGAAUUAGUUUCUCUAAAGGAGUCUAAAUUUCAAUAUUUUAGGUUAUUUCAGCUGGGCAUUUUGAAAAAGAUUACCAAGAGGAAAUGAUAUCCGCUUGUAUGCCGAUGAACUUGGAAGAGGCUUAAUGGGAGAGUUAGACUACAGAUUGGAAGCUGCAAAUGCAUCCCGUUUCUUGGAGGCGCAUUCAUCCUUUCCAUUCAUUCGCGUUCCAAAAGCUUUUCCACAACUCACAAGAAAAAGGUGCUGACCAUGGAAUGGGUGGCUGGCGAAAAUCCAAAUGAUUUUGUAAUGGAUCUAAAUAUGAUAGUUCUGCAUACUCCGAGAAACAGACAGUUAAAGCGAAGCAACACAUUGAUUUGGAACACCCUAGGCACCAUGAAGAAUAACCAAAAUGUUGCUGGGCAUGAAUCAGAAGGUGGCAGUGAUCGAGUUAUUACUCCCACAACAGGUGACGAAUCACGAGGUAUAUACUCCGAAAAAUGCGCCUUAUGCUAGUGAGGAAUUGAUGUGGUUCGUGAGCAAUUGGCUAAGUUUUUUUACCAGCAAGUAUUUAUUAUUGGCCGAGCGCUUGGUCGAGUUGUUUGAUAUUAAAAUGUAUGCGUACAUUGAAAUUGGAACGAACAAAUAUUUAAAUGUAGUACCUGCACUUUGGUUUUGGGAUAUAUCAAUAUACAAAACAACAGUUACUGUUUUUAUAUUUGUUA